rnacentral:tRNA from 1 species
GCCCGGCUAGCUCAAUUGGCAGAGCGUGUGACUUUGUAUCACAAGGUUGGGGUCGACCCCCCCGUCGGGCA